CCCGUACCGCAAACCGACACAGGUGGGUGAGGAGAGUAUCCUAAGGCCAGCGGGAGAACUGUUGUUAAGGAGCUCGCGAAAGUGACGCCGUAACGUAGGGAUAAGGGGUGCCACCAUCAGGUGGCCGAAGAGAAUAGGUCCAAGCGACUGUUUACCAAAAACAUAGGUUUCUGCUAAGUCGCAAGACGAUGUAUAGGAGAUGACGCCUGCCCGGGGCUGGAGGGUUAAGGGGAUCUGUUAGAG
rnacentral:rRNA from 1 species